AUUGAACGCUGGCGGCAUGCCUUACACAUGCAAGUCGAACGGUAACAGGUCUUCGGAUGCUGACGAGUGGCGAACGGGUGAGUAAUACAUCGGAACGUGCCUAGUAGUGGGGGAUAACUACUCGAAAGAGUGGCUAAUACCGCAUGAGAUCUACGGAUGAAAGCAGGGGAUCGCAAGACCUAGUGCUACUAGAGCGGCCGAUGGCAGAUUAGGUAGUUGGUGGGAUAAAAGCUUACCAAGUCGACGAUCUGUAGCUGGUCUGAGAGGACGAUCAGCCACACUGGGACUGAGACACGGCCCAGACUCCUACGGGAGGAAGCAGUGGGGAAUUUUGGACAAUGGGCGAAAGCCUGAUCCAGCAAUGCCGCGUGCAGGAUGAAGGCCUUCGGGUUGUAAACUGCUUUUGUACGGAACGAAAAGCCCCGGGUUAAUACCCUGGGGUCAUGACGGUACCGUAAGAAUAAGCACCGGCUAACUACGUGCCAGCCGCCGCCGUAA
rnacentral:rRNA from 1 species